GAUGAAGAACGUAGCGAAAUGCGAUAAGUAGUGUGAAUUGCAGAAUUCAGCGAAUCAUCGAAUCUUUGAACGCACAUUGCGCCCCUUGGUAUUCCAUGGGGCAUGCCUGUUCGAGCGUCAUUUGUACCUUCAAGCCUUGCUUGGUGUUGGGUGUUUGUCUCGCCUCUGCGCGCAGACUCGCCUCAAAACAAUUGGCAGCCGGCGUAUUGAUUUCGGAGCGCAGUACAUCUCGCGCUUUGCACUCAGAACGACGACGUCCAAAAGUACAUUUUUACACUCUUGACCUCGGAUCAGGUAGGGAUACCCGCUGAACUUAAGCAUAUCAAUAAGCGGAGGA
rnacentral:misc_RNA from 1 species